rnacentral:rRNA from 1 species
AUGCGCCCCUUGGACCUGAACAUUAUAUGGUUUAACAGCACUCUAGAAAAUGCAAUUCUUGGGCCUGAAUUGGACAUAUCCUGUGACAGCCCCAAGAGCUUAUUGCAAGCCAAGAAUCUUUUGAAACAAGGUAACUGGAGACAGGUUCUGGGAAUUAAUACAGGAGACUUGAAGCAGGUGAUCAUAGCAUGUGGUAAGGCUGCUGCAGAGAAUGAUAUACAUACAGAAGUGCUGAUAUCUGAGCUACGUCAGCUGGUGUCUAUCUCUGGAGAUCCAAUGCAACGCCUAGGAGCAUACAUGUUGGAAGGGCUUGUGGCCAGGCUCUCUUUCUCUGGAAGUAAGCUGUAUAAAUCCUUGAAGUGCAAAGAACCUACAAGCUCUGAGUUAAUAUCUCACAUGCAUCACCUUUGUGAGAUCUGCCCAUUCUACAGGUUUAGUUACAUGUCAGCCAAUGGUGCCAUAGCAGAGGCUAUCAAAAGCGAGAACUUCGUUCACAUCAUCGAUUUCCAUAUCGCACAGGGGAGCCAGUGGAUAACUAUCAUUGAGGCUCUUGCAGCGAGGUCUGGGGGUCCACCAUGCCUAAGAAUCACUGGCAUAGAUGACUCAAACUCUGCUUAUGCCCGAGGUGGUGGACUGGAUAUGGUUGGGACAAGAUUGCAUAGUGUCUCUGCGUCGUGUGGCAUGCCCUUUGAGUUCAAUGCUGUUCAUGCUGCUAGCCAUGAGGUUUAUCUUGAGCAUCUUGAUAUAAGGCCCGGGGAGGUCAUUGUAGUGAAUUUCGCCUAUGAGCUGCAUCAUACUCCUGAUGAAAGCGUGAGCACGGAAAAUCACCGGAACAGGAUUAUAAGAAUGAUCAAGAGCCUAUCCCCCAGGGUUGUGACUCUUGUUGAGCAGGAGUCGAAUACAAACACAGCUCCAUUCUUCUCAAGAUACUUGGAGACCUUCGAAUACUAUACGGCAAUGUUUGAAUCAAUAGAUGUUGCUCGCCCAAGGGAUGAUAAGAGACGGAUUAGCACAGAGCAGCACUGUCUUGCAAGGGAUGUCAUCAAUUUAAUAGCGUGUGAGGGUGCUGAAAGGGUUGAGAGGCUUGAGGCGUUUGGGAAAUGGAAGGCAAGGUUUGCAAUGGCUGGAUUUAGGCCGUACCCACUGAGUUCGCUGGUGAACAACACCAUCAAAACGCUGCUGGAUAACUACCACAGUUGCUACAGGCUUGAGGAAAGGGACGGAGUCCUUUACCUUGGUUGGAAGAGUAGAGUAUUGGUCGUGUCUUCCGCAUGGUGCUGA